GGAAAAAGCAAACCCAAAAGAAAGAACACCACUUGUAAAAUGCAACCACUCCCACAUUGGAAAUGUGGCGUUGACCACUAAAUACGCUGUUAACUCAGCACGCUGGUUGGAGGCAGGGUUUCAAGCUGGGCCCAGCAGGAGCAGCCUGGCCUGCUGCCCCCAGGUGUGAGGGCAUGGGUGAGGCGCCUCUGCCCAACGGCCCUCAGAGGCCGCAGCUGGGCCCAGAUCAGUGGGUGGCUCUGCCUCAGACCAGCCCUGAGGCCUUGCUGUGAGUUGCACUGGAUGGGGCUUCUGCUCGAUGCCUCACUCACUGGGUGUAUGGAUGCAGGCCUAGGGGGCGAAAAAAGCCAGGAGAAUGUUACAGAUGAACCUUUCCAGGGUUAGCUUCUCUGUUGCAGUGCUAGGAACAGAUUCCUACAAUGUUUACUGAGCUAUUGGAAGCACGAAUAGACCUUAGUGUUAUGAUAUAAACCUGCUCAAAAUACUGAGAAACAACACAGACCUGGCCACAAUGUGAGUGUCUUUCUCUGUAAUAUGCUGUUUCUAAAAAGAAAAGUCAAUAAUGUUGAUGACCUGGCCAAACAUCAGC
rnacentral:lncRNA from 1 species